CGAAAAAUGUGGAACGAACGAGGGGCAAUUUGAGGGAAGCCCAGAGAAUUGGCUGCGCCCGAGCCCCGGGAACGAGUUGGCGCCUAACUCGAUACAGUAAAGUUCGAAACAUUGCGUCACGAUCGCAUCGACCAAAUGAAACGAAUGUAAAGUAAUGCACUUUGGCACGUGCCGGAUAAAUGUGUGCUCGUCGAUGAGAAAUGCGCAUUUACAGAGACAUUCGCGAGUACAACGAGCGAUCGAUGGAAAAGUUAAUUAUCGAUGAGACUUUUUAAAGAGUGGCACAAUUACGCGCGAUAAAUGCGAGGCUCGGCGAGGAGAAAAAACCGAUUUGACGGCUCGCCGUCGGCCAGCAUAUCGGGGCAAGAAUAUCCUCGAAAUAGAAAUUUGAGGAAAAUCGAAUGGAAGGAGGAAACGAAUGGCGCGUGGAUCGACGGCUGCUAUCGAUUAAAUAAAUAAAUAAAAAACUCGAAGGAGAUGAUAAAACGGGACUUACCCAAAAGUAAGCAAGUUUCUCAGCGCUUUCUUCCGAGCUGAUCGAUUCCGAUUGGCGUUCGACUGCCUCCAGGAGACGUUGGAGCUUCUCGAGUCCACUGUCUUCGCUGGACCUUCGUUUUCGGCCGCUGCGCACAAAAGGGCGGAGAAUAAAUUCAUGAGGAUUUGGCACGCCAAGUUUUUUAUGAAGCUCCUAAUCGGAGGGAAAGGAAAUUGUAGAAGAGCUUCGACGAGUCUCCGGAAUCGAUGGACUUUCGUCGAUUCACGAUGCGAGAGACGGCAAAUCUCAUUUUUUCUCCUUAUUUUUAUUGCCCCUCGCCGCGCGCGAGUCUCCAGCAGAGUCCACAACUCGCGUUGACGCAAACGACGCGCUCGCAACGUGUGCUCUUCGCGCGCUUUCUAACACCUUCGUUAUUUUUCAAUUCUCGAAGCUUCCGCUCGCUCCCCAGAAUUGCAAAUUCGCCCCCUAACUCCAGAAUCCCCUCGAGACUAAUUUAUCCAAUUUUCUAUUCACGCAGCGGAACCGUGACCGCGGACGCGACCGAAGAAAGUGCUCGACGCCUUCGACAGCGAAAGUCCGGACGGAAGCUCCGGCCGACGGGAAGGAGAGUUCGCUCGGUUCCUUACUGGCGUUAUCGUCGCUCGGGGUGGCCUCCAACUGUACUUUUCCUCGCUCGCCUGACCUAACCCAAGAGACCGAGACGCGGAGGGUAAUCGGAGCCGAAUAGAUACGUACGAGAGCGAUCCACGAGCGCAGACGUCCGGCAAGACGAAAUUGAUUGUCCAACGGACCGGCAUGACGCUGAAGUUUCCAACGUUGGAGUCCAAUGAUCGAAAAAAACUCUCCAAUAAUUCCAGUAAUUCUCCUAUUUUGUUCCCUGCCAAAUUUGCGAUUCGUAGUUUUUCAAGCUGCACCAACGAUUCGCGAAAUAAAAAAUUGGUGAAUUACAAACGUUUUUUUCGUUCAUUUCGUUGGACUCCAACGUUGGAAACUUCAGCAUCGUCGGACCGGCGAUUCUGCUGGUCGAACCGAAAAGACGCAAGUUUCGCCCUCCGUUCGGUGCCCUUCGGUUCACCUUCGGAGGAAUAAUUUUCGAACGAUUUAUUCCCGUUCCGUAGAGAAAUUUCGCUCGUGCUUUAGGCUCGAUGGCACAAGUGAUUUUUUCAAUGCUCCUCGUCGCGUUUAUUUGACCGUGGAGAAUUGCUGAUUAGAUUUCACCGGCGUCCGGGCUCCCACACCGCCGUUUUUUUCAACGUUUUAAUAUACGCGAAUGAAAAGUCGUUGAGGACUCUUAAUAAAUGCCCCGAAGGCGUUCGAGUUUUGAGAUAACGCGCUUCGGGAGCCACCGAAUGGAAAUUUACUCGUCGAUUUUGUAUACGCUCUUUAACGCCCUUACGCGCAUCCCCCCCGUCGAGAAUCGCCCGUGAAAUACGCUUCUUAUUCAGCACAAAUUUAUACACCGCGCUGAUAGUCGCGCGGAAAUUUUUUUACUCGCUUUCCCUCCGGUCUGCUCUGCGGCGAGCGCGCGAGAAGAAGAGAACAACCGAAAGGAACGGUAACGCUCGGGUUCUCAUGUUCCUCCGCCUGCGCAACGAACCACCCCCUCGCUCCGUGUGUUUUUAUAUUCAAAGAAUGCUCGAUGCAGAUCAGCCACGAUCCUGGCACCGCGGUAAUGCAAUUUUUGACGUUUAUGUAAACGAUCCGACGAUUCGAAUCGUCUCAACUCCCCUUUUCCCACUUCGCGGGACCCUCAAUUUAUUAACUUUUCGUUCUGUCGCUUCUUGAGAAAACAAACUGGAAAUAAUGCUCUCGGGUUUUCCAUUUUUUACCGCCCCGUCGAGUGCCUUCGUUUCGUCCUAUUUGAGCGACGUUUUUCCCGUACUUUUUCCCUCUUUUUAAAGGAGCUUCAGAUUUUGGAAAAACGGGAAAAAUAUUCGGACUCAAAAGUGAUUUUUAUUCUCGUUUCUUUUGCCUAGUUUUGACUCAACUUCUCGUGUGUUACCGCACUCGGUGCAAGCAUUCGUGUCGCGUGCUUUCCCACACGAGCGAGGGGGCGAAACGUUUCGUGGGGAGAUGAAAGUACAGAUUGGAGAAAUGAGCGAAAACUUACAUUCUCGCGGGAUCGACGCGACCGAAUCCGACCGGAACGGUCACCAGCUUGCCUCGCAUUCGCGCGAGUGCCAACAGCGUCUCGAGCUCGGCGACACGUUGAUCCGAAACGCGUUUCUGUCUGCUGCUGAAAAAAUAACAAAAAACGUUGAAUCGCAGCAAUUCUGAUGUCAAAUUUUGCGAUGAAAUCCACACAAAAGUUAAGGAGAUUGGCGUGGAUCGGAGUCCGAUUGACCGAGAGCAGAGCGACACGAAUUUUUGUGAAUUUGCAUCGUCGCAACAUUUCAAGAGAAAAUCGAAGCCCAAAAAACCGAAAAAUGGUUGGAAGGUCGACGACCGGAAAAGUCGACAGAAAUAACUCGACUUGGGAAACAAUUCGACUGAAGAAACUUCAUACCCCGUUAAGAGUCUUUCUGCAGUAAACCUGCCGCGACAAUUUUCAAGAUAAAUACGCAGAGAAUGAACUUCCAACUUUUGAAAAAUCUCGAAACAAUGUUUUUUCCAUGAUUGACGUGUAAAAGGAAACCGCGAUCGCGCUCGCGAACGAGACGGCGCAAGUGUGCUCGGGCCUCGACAAUCCGUCUUAGCGACAAUCUCACCAGAUUGCAUCAGCAUUGCUGCGAACGCUUGGGCCGAGGUUAAAAAAUGCUGACUGGGACACAGUGCGAGUACGAAAGAAUAUAUGGAAAUCUCGCGUUUUAUGAAAACCUGGAGUGCAGUAUCCGAUUUUGAGAGGUUCAACGUGUCGAGCUUAUCGCAAAAUGGCAUUGAAAGAUCUUCGAAGCUCGUCGAUCGGUAUUUGGGUCAGUGGGGGUCCAAUUACUCCAUUGUUAAAUUGCGGUGGAAAAAAGAAAGAAAAACAUUGAAGGCCGAAGCGAUAAGGGUCUGAUAGCGUGCGUGAAAGGCCGACACGAAAAGCGGCUUAUUAGCAAACGAUUAAAAUCGUAUCGGUUUUCGAUUCUGAUCGAAUUUGGGUGGCAGCGGAUGAAAUUUCAGUGACGAAUUAUCCAUAAAUUGCUGAAUUGAGCGGUCGCGGUCCUGCCACGUGGCAACCUCGGCUCCGCUCGUGGAAAAAGGUGCGUCGAGGCGCUCGAGAAAAAUUGCAAGCUGCAGCAACUUUUGAGAAACGUUCUAAUAAAAUCGCAAUAAAAAUUUAUCGCUGCCUCGGCGCUUCCUCGCCUCGAGGGAGGAGCGUGCGGAAAAAAAUUGCGAAUAAUCUUUGAUUUACAGUUCAAAAGUUUGCGCCCCGCAGAGUUUCGUUAAAUUUUCCAUUCAGUGUUCACCUUCGCUGCACUUUAUCUCGGCCCCCGAAGCCGGAACGUCGAGAAUCGCUUUUUCUGGCCAGCGGCCCAUUUUCAAGGGACGUCAAAUCGGAAUAAUUGCAACAAUAGUGACGUGGACGAAAACUCAAUGAAAUCCUUGCGAAAUUCAAUCGAAUCAACUCUCAUUAUCGAGCCCCAUUAUUUUUUCGCUCUUUUGCACGCAUCCAGAAAUAUAAUUGGACGAACUUCAUUAUCCCAGUAAUUAAAUGUGAUUGAGCUGAAAAAAUGUUUGCUCGCUCCUCGCACGUGCCCAAUUCGAUCACGCAAGAAUCACACAGGUGUCUCAGUCGCACUGCACACUGAUAAUGCUGGUGACUCGAAACGCGUCAGCGUUCGUGUGCGAUUACACGAGUAUCGAUUUCAUCAAGUUCAGCAAAUGAGAAGUUUUCAAUUGGGCUAUUGGCACUCGAACUACCAAGCUCGAAUUCGAAGAUGCGCCAAAAUAUCGUGUGGAUUUACGAGCCUUCGCGAAGCUUUAUUCGAGAUGAAAAAUUCUAGUGGAAAUUAGGAACUAAUGAAACUGUACCUGACGAGCCCGGACGGUCUGGCGUGGGUGGAGUGCGGCAUGACAGCCGCGACGAGGACGAUCACGGCUACAUUUCUAAGAAGCCCACUCUGGACGAGUCUCGUGUGGAGAAAGUGACAGAUCGCGUUCGCACCGUUUGAGCAGAGUAGCGAUCCAUCGGACGAUAUUUGUGGAACGACACGUAAACGUGUCCGAGGAGUUAGUUGACCAGCAGAGCUGAUUGAGCUUCGUUGUGAGCGAUGCCGGAUGUCGCCAUUGGGAUUGGUCAAUUUUUCCUUUCACCAAAUAAAUCGAACGUGAUUCUCCCUCGAUUUCGUCUCUCCUCACGACAAUUAUUCGCGAUUUUGGACGAUCGUUUCAAAGAAAUUUCUCACUAAUUUGUUCAUUGGCCGAGGAUUUAUGGACCCGAAACGUCGAAAAAAUCGUUGGCUCGAGCACCAAUGGAGAGUCAAAUGAGCCAGAAACAGCUCAAGAAAAAAAUUCUCCACGAAAUCGUGGACAAAAUGUUUCUCGCAUAAAGAGAACCGUCGAGUUGGUUCUUUUUUUCCGAAACUGCGAAAAUCGUUGCUCAGUAUUGAGUAACAUUUUCGCCCGCCCCGCUCCCUUCUCUCGCUCCCGAUAACGAGCCAUCUCCCGUUAAUAUCUCGUCGCGAGCGCGCGCCUCUCCUCGUAUUAUAUGAGACUUUCACGCAAGUGACGUGAGGCACCACACACGAAGCGAAGUCAGUUAUUCCAUGAAACGAGCAUGACGUUUCUAAAUCAUGCGUGCUCUCUGUGCUUCUUCAUAUCUGACGUGUGCCAUUUUUUGUUUGUUUCCCUACACUCUCAAGCCCCAGCGACUACUCGUUUGUUUGUUUAAGAUUUGUUCCUUUCCCUGCAAUCUUCGUGAUGUCAUGGUAACUACCCAUCGAUUACACCUUUCAACAAGACUCAUAAAAAGGACGUCGUGGAAUAUUUAAAGUCAUAGAAAUUACGGCUCCUAUUUGAAAUACUGGAAGUACAAUGACCCGCUAAAUUCGAAGAGGAUCGAAGAUCCGGGCCUGAGCGAUUUGAACAGGAAAAUCGUGCGGUUUAACGUGGGCUCGGACCAGCCAAAGGCGGAGUGUUUCACAUGUUACGCAAAGAUUCCCAAAGUCUUUUAUAGGGGAGACCGGGGCAAAACGGGAUACCUAAGGAAAUAUUGAACUUUUCAGAAGUUUGGGAAGCUCUGUCUAUUUUUUACUCCCAAAAACUAAGAAAUGUACUGGAAUUUUGUUCAAUUAUCAAAAAAAAAAAAAGAUCCGAGGCGAAACGGGGUACUCCUCAAAAACUCAUGAAAUUUUUUUUACUAUGAUUUUAAUUCAAUGCACCUUGGGUGUAUUUUACACCCGUAACCGAGUGCUUCCGACUUAUCGCUGUAAGCGUUGAAAGCGAUCUCAGCGCGUACAACGCUCUAACGUACGUCGAACGCAUCUUCUGUAAUUCAAUUCAAAAUGAAUGAUAUGAAUAAUAUCGAAGAUUGCUAAUGUU